UACGGAGGGGACUAGCGUUGUUCGGAAUUACUGGGCGUAAAGCGCACGUAGGCGGAUUUGUAAGUCAGGGGUGAAAUCCCGGGGCUCAACCUCGGAACUGCCUUUGAUACUGCAAAUCUCGAGUCCGGAAGAGGUGAGUGGAAUUCCUAGUGUAGAGGUGAAAAUUUCGUAGAUAUUUAGGAAGAAACACCAGUGGCGAAGGCGGCUCACUGGUCCGGUACUGACGCUGAGGUGCGAAAAGCGUGGGGGAGCAAACAGG
rnacentral:rRNA from 1 species